rnacentral:lncRNA from 1 species
AUUCACAUUGCUGUACAGCUGUCAACAGCAUCAGCCUCUAGAACUUUUUCAUCGUUCCCAACUGAAACUCCAUGUCCUUAGUAAUAAUUCUCUAUUUCCCUUUUUGCUGCAUGUCUUCAGUUCUUAACUUCUUGUAGGAUUGCUACAUAUUUGUUAAUACAGAGAAAAUCAGUUUACUUUGAAGUCACAAAUGAAUUACACCCCUGUCUGCCACUUAUUUCCUAAAUGUGUGAGUUUGGGUCAGACUCAGCUUUGCUCCUCUUUCCCCCUAUCUUAUCUUUAGAAUGGAAUUCUCUUUUUUGGUGACGGCUGAGAGGCAUACUGUAUGUAGAGCACCCAGAACCCUGCUAGGUACCCAAUACAUGGGCACCUCUACAGUUCAUUCGUGUUGAUGAAUUAGUGGUCACCCCAGAGCCUCUGGUGUAGAUGGCUUGCUCCUCGUUCUUCAUCUGAUUCCUGGUUUUGCAUGCCUAGUUAGCAGUUGUGGAAUGAUAAUAGAGUUGGAAAGAAUUGAGUGUCUUAAUUGUCAUAUGUUUAAUAGAAGCUGUUAUAUUUCAGAAAUAUGUGCCCAUACAUUUGUUCAUUCAGUAAAUAUUUAUUGAGCACCUUUUGAAUAUCAGGCACACCUUCCCCUGACAGCCAUCAUUCUGCUUUCUGUCCUUGUGAAUUUGAUUACCCUAGGUACCUCUAAUACACUGUUUGUUCUGUGUGUGUCUAUCUUGUUUCACUUAGCAUAAUGUCUUCCAGGGUCAUCCAUGAUGUAGCAUGUGCUACAGUAUUUCGUUCCUUUUUGGGCUAAAUAAUAUACCCUUGUCUGUAUAUAUCUCAUUUUGUUUAUUCUUUGUUAGUGAACGUUCCUUCUACUUUUUGCCUAAGGUAAAAGGUGGUUGCUUUAAGUAUAAAUGUAAAACUAUCUUUUUGAACACCUGCUUUUAUUUCUUUUGUUUAUGUGCCUUGAAGUGGAAUUGGAUAUGAUAACUCUGUUU